UACGAAGGGGGCUAGCGUUGUUCGGAAUUACUGGGCGUAAAGCGCGCGCAGGCGGUCCUUUAAGUCAGGGGUGAAAGCCCAGAGCUCAACUCUGGAACUGCCUUUGAAACUAGAGGACUUGGGUACGGGAGAGGUGAGUGGAAUUCCGAGUGUAGAGGUGAAAUUCAUAGAUAUGACUUAGAACACCAAUUGCGAAGGCAGCUUGCUAAACAAAUAUUGACGCUGAGGCACGAAAGCGUGGGGAUCAAACAGG
rnacentral:rRNA from 1 species